CCAGAGGAAAACACGGUAUGUGAACAAGAGGAAACUGGCAAAAAAAAAAUGUGAUGUGUAGUUUCAAAGGAUUUUCUAAACUUCAGCAGGACGUGACCCUGCAACGAUGGGUGAAUUAUAGGAGCUGAUAGGCUGCGGUUGUGAGACAAGAGAAAGCAUGUUGAUGCAGGUCCUGUAACAGAGGGUGGAAGUCUGCUUUCUGAGGUGUUUUUAGAUUGGCUUUUAGUGCUUUACCUCUUACUGUUUCAACAAGAAGUGUAGCUUUUGCCUGGCCUUUAGAAAAUUCAGGAAUGCAGUGCAAAAGGCUGAACUUUGAGGAGUUGUUAUUUUUUUUUUUUUCUAAUCCUCCACCUGGCUGUGCAUAGGGGGUUGAGUACAUGUGUGAGAUCUGUGACUUAGGUAGCCCUAAGCUGGAAUUCAGCUUUCAGUAGGAAACUGUGGAUCCAUGUUUCCAGUUUUUAAUAGUUGCUUCUGGGCAUUCUGGUGAAAUCUGACUACAGAUUGGGCUUUCCUUUUUGCCGGAGGAAAGACGAUGCAUUCACAGCAGUAAAUCCUAGAUUUUUGCAUUUAUGGUUAAUUAACCAUAACACAAGUAGCAUAGCAAGCAGUAGCAAUGUUCAUAGAUAACAAAGGGAUUAAGAAAGAAAGAUUGGAUUAAAAAAAAAGAAAAAAACAACAACUGAACUGUAACCAAAACCCAGAGCAUAAUAUCAAAGCCAUGUAAAAAUAGUUGGAGGUAGAAAUCGCUUUGCUGUAGCACAGGAGGAUUUACAGUGAGGCAUUAGAAAAUGUUAUCAUGCUUUUUCAUGCUAUUACAUGCUGCUCUGAAAUAUAAAAUGAAGAUGGAUCUCUGUCCGGAAAGAAUUUACUAUUUUUUGUUAUCUGCAACUGCAAAUUGAUGCCAUAUGGGCAAACUUGUAAACAGGGGACAGGGAAGCUUUCUGUUUUGCCUCAUACAAUAAAAUACUCAUGCAGCUUCCUCCAAGCAGUAGUGCAGGGAGACAUGAUUUUUCUUUUAAAAUUUUAUGCUAAACCCGUUUCUUAUUUACAUCUAAGUAUGUGUGCUUUGAAUAUCUGAAAAUUCGUUUAUCUUUAGAAACAUAAUGAAGACCAGUCUUGUGGAGAGAGGGUGCAUCUCUCAUUAAAUCAAUUAAUGCAGUUGGAAACUAUAUGUUUUCUUGCUACUUAAAGCCUUGUUGGAAUAAGUUGGUAACAUGCUUUACUUUCAUAAUUUGUUUAAUAUUAUUAUAAGAUUACUUGGCCUUAUCUUUAGAGUUUUGUUUGAUAAAUACCUUAUUUUAUUUGUUUCAGCUUACGUUAGCAGUGAUUUCCUGACCUCUGCACUGUUAAUUGGUAGAUAAUCUCAGUUAUAACAGGCUGCCAUCAGUGACCUUGCAGUCCCUGUAAGAAUGAAUAUUUGAAGAGGUUUUCUUCUUACGAGCUUAUAAUAUCUGUGAGUGUGGGGUUUUUUUGUAUUCACAGCAUAUCCAAAUCCUAAUUACAGACCAAUUAGUCUGGGUUCAAGUCCUUUAGAUCUAGUAUCACAGGAUUAAUGAAAAGAAAAUGAAUGGGUAACAAUAUCGUUUCAUAUGGAGAUAAGGAUAGACUGAGCAUGAAUGAGGAUCUCAUGACAUCCAAGGAAAGAAUUUCCUCAUUCUGUCAAUGAAGUUUUAUGGGAUAUGGUGAAAGGAUUAUGGGAAUAUUCAUGACCAGAUCAAGAGGCAUAAGGAGUUGAUGUAUGAACCAGCUUAUCUUUUAGGUAAACACAGGGUAAAUGGGAAGUAGAAUAGCCAUUCAUUGCCCCUAGGCCUAUGAUUUUCAUUGAUCUGAAGAUGGAAACAUGUUCAGUUACAGUCGUUCUUUGUUGAUACCAUUUGAUUUUUGGAUCAGUUUUUUAACAGGUGGCAACUUCAGCUCUGCUUUGAAAUUUUCAAAGACGCUGUGCUCUUUCUAGAUGCAAUAGCACAUAUUUAAACUUGUGAAGCACCAUAUAGUAAGACAGUAGUCCUUCCAGCCUACUGGAGCAUUGCAUAAAGGUACUGGGGUAAUUGAGAAUGAUACAGAAAUAAUUUGCCAGCGACCGAAUGCUUUUAAUCCAAGGCUUACUUCUUCGUGGAAAAAGUAUCGCAAUACAUGGAAGGAGCAACACAUCACUUAGUUUGUCUUUUUAAUUUCCUAGUGCAGUGUUUGUGUCUGAAACCCAAGUGAUAUUCUGGGUUUGAUGUGUUUGUACUCCUGUAAAUUAGAGCACGUUUUGUUUUCAGGAAGGCUUAAGCCAGUAAUAUUCUUAUCAAGUUGUCAGUGAAAACGAUGCAAAUUUGGGUAUGCAGUUUCUCUAUUACACACAGAAGUGAACUGCAUUCAAAAGCUUCUUUAAAUAGAGGCAUUUAGCCUCACGUGGUGCUGGUGAGCAUAUUGACCACUACCCAGAACUGCAGACACUCCACUUCUACUCUUCAGAAAACUGCCACACAUUUAUAUUUACUGAUUUAUUAAGGUGCGUACUGUCACUGCAUAACUCUGCUAUUUCCCUAUUUAAAAAAUAAGUAAAUUUAGCAAUCUGUUUCUUGGUGCUGCUGCUAGGGGUACAAUGCUAGCUGCUGCUGCUGCAGAAGGCUUGCUGCUGCUAGGAGUACAAGGCAGAGUGUGAGGAACUGCUGCUAUUUGGCAGUCAUUGUAACUGCUCUUUCUUAAGAAUAGCUAGCAUGUUUUUUCAAAGCACUGAAUUACCUCGAGACUUCAUAAUUAUUACAGUUAAGCAAUCAUUUCAAUUCAGUCCAAGUAUAAACUAAUAAAGUACCUGCAAUAAAAAGUUCCCUGAACAAACACAGCUGAUUCAGUACAUUUUGGAGGAAUAAAUAUUUGGUAUCCUGUUAUUUUAAUAUGCCCUAAUCAGAAAAUUAAAAUAGCUUUUGUUGGCACAAACCUUUUUUAAAGGUGAUAUAAUUAGAGAUUUUGCUGAUGCUAUUAAUUUUCAAGACUUUAAUAUGACAUAAGUGAGCAGUUGAGUAGGGAAAAUAUUUGCGUUUAAUACUGCUAAAUCUCUUUGCUUUCACAAAGCCAAUGGCUUGAUCAAUGUAAAAAGCAUAUUUGGGAGGAAAUGUAUCAGCUUACAUAUAUGUAGUAACUAUAUGCAGAUAAUAUCAAAGCUAUUAAGAGCUCUAAUCUAAUGAGAUCUGAUCUCCAGUUACCACUGGGAACUGCUGCUCACUUUUGGAGAGGGAGAUGCAGGAUUAAUAACAUUCAAAAAUGGGUUGAUUCUGUCCAAAGUCAAAGGGUGGUUUUUUUAAUGCUAAUUUUAUAAGCAAUGGCAGAGCAUCCAUAUUGUGAGCUGUGCUUUGUAGCUGGCUAAAUAGCGUUGUUGGCUUUGUUGCAGAAUAGGUUUACAUACUGACAUGUAAAAGAGAAAUACCUACUUUUCUACAUCAAGAAUAUAGCAGUUCUUCAAAUUAACUUCAUAGGGAUGCAAUGAUCAUGGGACUUUUUUUUUUCAUUGUCAGCAUUCAAAGUUUAUGUUAGCUGAACUGAAUCAAGACUUCUUUUUUCUUGUAAAAAUCAGCUACUGCUGUUCCACAAUUUCCAAAUAUACAGCUUUCACCCUCAUACUGUAACCUUCAUUUAAUACCAAAGCCAGCAGGUGCUCUGUGGUAGUAGAUAAGCACCGUUGGGGAAGGGGACACUGAAGUGCUGAGAGUAGAAGGGAUUUGCCCUUCAUCACCUAAAUACUGUACUUUACAGAUGGAAGUCCAAGGCCUCUUCAUUCCCUGACAGGCUGUUUUCCAUCUUUUACUUCAAAUUCCAGUUAAAAAUUCUCCACUUCUACAAGAUCAGGGCUAUGGGAUUUUGUUGAGUUUUGCCACUAGUACUCCUCUAAAGUGGGUUCAGCGUUAUCUGUGGGAUUGUGACUUGGUUACUAGAUGAAACUUUCAGUUCCCUUGAGUACGUUCCUAUUGCACUCCUGUGUGAGGUCCUGUUUUUCCUUCCCCUAUUAUGUAUCCUAUUUUUAAGGAUGUCAACUCUGUUUCCUUUCUGUUUUAAUGUUACUUCAGCAAAGCCCAUUUACAAAUAUGGUAUUGAUAAAGAGAAGAAAACAUUAAUAUAUAGUGAAUUUAAAUUUAUAUAGAAAGAAUAUAUAAAAGUUUUAUAAAAGGAAGAAAGAAAAACUCAAAACUUUUAUCUCUAUGAAACUUACAGGUCUCAUCCAGUAGUAUUUUUAUUUUAUGGGGGGGAAACAUUUCUUACAUGUUUCUUCUCUCUAACUUAAUUCUGUGCAUCAUAACGCUUCCCACCCCUUCCCUUAUGCUCUUGACCUGUGCUUUUAUCAUGGCUAUAAUCACACGCAGAAGAAGCUUCAGUGAGGACAUGGUGAGAGAGAAGCAGGAAAGCUUGCAGGCUUUCAAUUACAAUUAGGUUCUAAACCCUGCUUCGUAAGCUGCUUAAUAAAUCAAAUAGGUUAUGUGGUAACAAGUAUUGAAUGGGACUGGGAGAAGAGUUGGUGAGAAUGCCUAAAAAUCUGUAUUUUUCCCAGUCCCCAUUGCCUUUUUAUUAGUGCUGUUUGAAACUGUGUUCUAGUAAUGCUUUUGUAAAGAAAUAAGCUCCCAGCCUUAUUGUUUUAUAUAAAAUGAGGCUCUGCCCACAUCCAUCUAGUUACUGCCCAAAUGCAAGGAAGUGUAAGCCUUAAACACUCUUAAUACUGUGCAUUGCCCCCCUUGCGUAUAGGGGUUUUGAAUAUUGAUGUUUGCUUCCCUGAAAUUCUGCCUGAUGGAAGGUCACUGGCUUUUAACUCUUCUUAGAAUGAUUCGUGGCGUUUGUGACACUUGCUUAGGGAAUUGUCCCUAUUCUCCACAGCGUAGCAGGUGUAGGGCAGUUGUGCUCUGCAUGACCUCAUGGAAGCCUCAGUUUUUUGAAAUACAAGGAUAGGAUUUCCUUUCUAAUGUAAGGUUGCUUUGGGAAACUUUAGAGUUAUUAAUAAAGCGUGAUAAUCGUGGAUUGUGUUUGCAGAAGUUCUUCAAAGCGAUGUGGAAAAAUUGGAGUACUUAGAUGCUUUAAUUGCAAUCUCUUUAAUUCCUCCAGAAAAAGUUCGGGAAAUCCAGGAAAAACUUGAAGCCUUCAUAGAAGCCCUCCAUCAAGAAAAAUAGAUUGUCAAGCAGCAGCAACUUACCACAGGAAUGCAGACUUUUCGAGGAUACCAUGCACAAAGAAGGCUGAACAAAAAUGCUUUCGUGUCCCAUUCUGUAUCUGACCUUUUGGGGGAGCAUUGUGAAACACUGGAGAAAAAAGAAAAUAAUGUCUCCUGAGAUUGAGAAAUUCAAUCAAAACCGGCCUAUUUUUUUUUUUUUUAAUUUUUUGAAGCUAUGUGUCUGUGACAGAAGAACCUGAUUUGCGUCUUGAUGAGAUAGCCUGGAAGCUUGCCAGAGUUCUACAUUUAAGAGUUCUUUUUUCCUGAUAGGAAAAAAUGCUUUUGUUGUUGUCACCUGUCUUGUACAGUGGAGCUGGAUCAGAUUCAUAAAGGGAUUUUACCUGUUGUCGGUUUCUUGGCUGCAAAUGCUCUUAGAAGUUUGACAUAAAGUUUUUAUAUUUAUGUGUACAUUAAAACACCCUUCAAAGUCAUGCCUUUUCUCAGUUAUGCUCUGUUAGUGAAACAGUCUCUGAUCACUCUGGUACAGAUUUUAAGCAUGGUGUUGAGAUAUUGAGGGGAAAUUGUGAAUUUUGUUAAACUCAAAACUCUUGAGAGACGUCAUUCAAGGAAUUCCAGUGCUUUCAAGUGAAAGUGCAGACUGCUGUUCACUGACACCUUAAAAGGUUUGGCUCAGGAAAUGAUACUAAUGGGGGCUUUUUUUUUUACCAGUUCUUUCCUAAUUGUUGUUGUUCCUUGGAAUCAUGGCCGAUUACAUUUCAUUUCUGCCAUUGCACAGACUGAUCUCCUUUUUAAAUCUUCCCUUUCCAGUAGCCACAAAGUAAAUUGAUUGUGUAAAAUACAGAAAGGUAGCCUGUACAAUUCCAACAAGUCCAACCUUUUGAAGUAAAAAAAGCAAAAAUAAUUACUUCGAUGUUUCUAACAGCUACUGUAAGACCAAAAUGGCUUUGAUAUGAAUGCUGCGCACAAAGUCCCUCCAUAACCACGUGAUAUCUGUAAUGCAAUACAGUAAAAAGAAAAACUAAGUAUAGUCAUUCUUCUCCUGCAUUUUAGUCACUUCUGACAAAUGUAAGUAUGAUAUAGGCUCUGUAUCGUAGGUGCCUGGUGAUUAAUCACUAUACUUUUCUGCCCACGCUUCGCAACAGAUGAUCUGGAUACACUUCUGAAUACUUCUGUGGAAGAAGAUAUUAGGCUUUACAGAACUUGUUUUGAAGUUGUCUCAUUAUGAAGGUUGAAAAAUUGAUGUAGGUUUAUUUUCCUUUUUGGAAAAGGCUAUUGAUUUCUGACCUCCUGGCAAUUAGAAGAGAGGAGCCUGACUCUUUCAUAACAGUUACUGUGCCUGUUUGCUCACAGUGAAAACAAUAGAAAUUUAGGUAAGAUGUUCCCCAGAUAUUGAGAUAAUUAAGUACUUAGGCUAUUGUAUGAAAACUUAACAUAGAGCUAUUCAUAUAAAGUUGAGAAGUUAAAUACUGCAAGGUGAUCUUACUGCUUGGGGAUUAUUUUUGUUGUUGUUUAAAACUGCUUUUCUGUAAAUGAGUUUUUAAGAAUGGAAAAAUGAAAAAAAGGCUUCUAUCAUCAUCAUUCUCUGACAAUAACUUUAGAGAUGUAUAUUUGCACAGUUCUGAAAGAAGAUUCCAUAGGCUGUACAGCAAUUGAGAUAAGUCUGUACUUGCGUUAAAUUCCUCUUUGUAUAAAAAAAAAUACACAAAACUUUUGCAUUUACGUCAAGAGAUCACUGUCAGAAAAUUCUGUGUAAUGUAAAUGUUGCAAAAUAUUACAUCUAGUGGUCCAGUAUUCAUCUCUCAGUGUGAUGUACCUGUAGUUCUAGUUCCAACCUCUGUGCUGCUCAUCUAAGACUUAGCAUGAUGUAUUCCAUGGCAACUAGGUAUUUAUUGAGUAAAAAUGUAACUGAAGGAAAAAUAAAAUGUGGAUUUUGAACACAGUACUAUUGUA